rfam:Hordeum vulgare subsp. vulgare, WGS project CAJW01000000 data, contig: morex_contig_358296
AUUAUACUCCCUCCGUCUCAAAAUUCUUGUCUUGGAUUUGUCUAAAUAUAAAUAUAUCUAGUCACGUUUUACUAUUUAGAUACAUUCAUUUGCAGAUAAACCUAAGACAAGAAUUUUGAAACAGAGGGAGUACGAA